CUAGUUAGCUGGAUGUGGUACUGCAUUCCUAUAAUCCCAGGAUCUUGGAGGUCUAGGCAGGAUGAUUAGGAGUUCGAAACCAUCCUCAGCUACUAAU
ensembl:miRNA Mir6412 microRNA 6412